CAGUAGCCGCGGUAAUACAGAGGGUUCGAGCGUUAAUCGGAUUUACUGGGCGUAAAGCGUGCGUAGGCGGCUAAUUGAGUCGGAUGUGAAAUCCCCGAGCUUAACUUGGGAAUUGCAUUCGAUACUGGUUAGCUAGAGUGUGGGAGAGGAUGGUAGAAUUCCAGGUGUAGCGGUGAAAUGCGUAGAGAUCUGGAGGAAUACCGAUGGCGAAGGCAGCCAUCUGGCCUAACACUGACGCUGAGGUACGAAAGCAUGGGGAGCAAACAGGAUUAGAUACCCCAGUAGUCCCUGUCUCUUAUAC
rnacentral:rRNA from 1 species